CGGCCAUGACUUAACCCUCCCUACGCAGUGCACGAACUUGGAAAGGGACUGAGUCGGCGAGUAUAGUACUGUUUUAUUUCAGCAGCUGUUCCUUUUGUGCUUGAAAUGCUCAAGAGAAGACUAGAAAUGCUGUUUGCAGAAUUCACAUGCUCUGAACAGGUACCAACACGAGCGUUGUGACUCAUGGCUUGUACAGGACUGCUUACGUCCAAGUGCAACAGGCCUUCCUGGCUACAGUUCAGGCAGAAUUUCCCAGGAAAAUUACUUGAGGCUGGAGAUUUCUUUUUCGGAAACCUUUUACUUGUGCACUGAUUAUUCAGGACUAUUCGGGU